rnacentral:rRNA from 1 species
CCCUUAGAGUUUGAUCCUGGCUCAGAACGAACGCUGGCGGCGUGCUUAACACAUGCAAGUCGAACGCGAACGGCCUUCGGGCCAAGUAGAGUGGCGAACGGGUGAGUAACGCGUGAAUAAUCUGCCUCUUGGCGGGGGAUAACUUCUCGAAAGGGGAGCUAAUACCGCAUGAGUCCAAGAACCUUCGGGGGACUGGGGAAAGAUGGGGACCUUCGGGCCUGUCACCGAGAGAUGAGUUCGCGUACCAUUAGGUAGUUGGUGGGGUAAUGGCCCACCAAGCCUGAGAUGGUUAGCUGGUCUGAGAGGACGAUCAGCCACACUGGGACUGAGACACGGCCCAGACUCCUACGGGAGGCAGCAGUGGGGAAUAUUGCGCAAUGGGCGAAAGCCUGACGCAGCAACGCCGCGUGUGUGAAGAAGGUCUUCGGGUCGUAAAGCACUGUUGAGGGGAACGAGCCGGCGGCAUUUAAUAGAUGCCGUCCCGACGGUACCCCUUGAGGAAGCACCGGCUAACUCCGUGCCAGCAGCCGCGGUAAUACGGAGGGUGCAAGCGUUGUUCGGAAUUAUUGGGCGUAAAGCGCGCGUAGGCGGACUGCUAAGUCUGAUGUGAAAUCCCUCGGCUCAACCGAGGAACUGCAUUGGAUACUGGCAGCCUUGAGUCUCGGAGAGGAAAGCGGAAUUCCCAGUGUAGAGGUGAAAUUCGUAGAUAUUGGGAGGAACACCAGCGGCGAAGGCGGCUUUCUGGGACGAUGACUGACGCUGAGGUGCGAAAGC